CCUACGGGAGGCAGCAGUGGGGAAUAUUGGACAAUGGGGGCAACCCUGAUCCAGCGACGCAGCGUGAGUGAAGAAGUACUUCGGUAUGGAAAGCUCUAUCAGCAGGGAAGAAAGAAAUGACGGUACCUGAUUAAGAAGCCUCGGCUAACUACGUGCCACCAGCCGCGGGAAUACGUAGGGGGCAAGCGUUAUCCGGAUUCACUGGGUGUAAAGGGAGCGUAGGCGGCGAUGCAAGUCUGAAGUGAAAGGCGGUGGCCCAACCCCCGAACUGCUUUGGAAACUGGAUGGCUGGAGUGCAGGAGAGGUAAGUGGAAUUCCUAGUGUAGCGGUGAAAUGCGUAGAUAUUAGGAAGAACACCAGUGGCGAAGGCGGCUUACUAAACUGUAACUGACAUUGAGGCUCGAAAGCGUGGGGAGCAAACAGGAUUAGAUACCCGUGUAGUC
rnacentral:rRNA from 1 species